rnacentral:lncRNA from 1 species
GACUUUAAUAACUAGUUUCUUAUGUUGAAGGUGAUUCUUCCUUAUCGUUUGUCCUUGGUGUCUUGACAUUAUUUUACUGUCUAUAUAAAAUAAAAGAUUUUCACCAUUCAUAUCUCCACGGUCUAUAUGGAGGUAUGAUGGCUACCUGGUCGGGGGUUAAGGGAACGGUUUGGGACCUGGGUCAAAUUUAGUAGGGUCUCCUUCAAUACCCAAAGGUAUUGGAUGGCGGGGAUCCAAACUCUUUGACCCCCUCAUAAGUUAAACUACUAUUAAUACUAUAACCCGGCUACUUAGGACUGUAUCCCUGCUGACUCAGACUACUUAGUCGAGGGUAACGGUAACGUCACCUUCAAAAGAGGGGCCUACUACAAUAACUAAGAUAAUCUCUUAAACAAGUGCAAAAGUGCGAAAAUAAUCAAAGGUUAC